ensembl:lncRNA
GCUGCUCAACUUCCUGGGUGGGGGCCGAGCUCUGUGUGACUUCCUGGUGGCUUUGAGCAAGUCCCUUUACCUCUCUGAACCUCAGUUUCUCCACCUGUAAAAUGGGGGUCUGGGCUGCCCCCAGUCAGGGACUUUCCUUCUUCUCCUGUAAGCUUUGGGAGGUGUCGGGGAAAAGCGGUGUAGAGGCUAGUGAGGCAGCAGCUGUGGAGGGACCCCUCUUCUCACGGCCUCAGGUUCCCUCUGCUGACGUGGCGGCCCGCGGGGGCCAAGGAAACAGAAAACGUUCCCCAAAAUGGCCUUUUAAGAACAAAGUUGAACAUCUGGUGUUUCCGAGAAAUCAUCAGCAAAGGGCUCCAAGAGGCCUCUGCUGCCCCAGGUUCUGGUCACGUGAAAAGAUGAGGACACUGUGGCCCAGAGAGGUUAAGUGAUUCGCCAAAGGUCACAUAGCGAGAAGGACCCCAAGUAUGCAGAAACUGAGGCUCAGAAGGCAAUGGAGCCAAGCCUUGGACCAAAUCUCUGUCCCUGUCUGGGCCUCUGUCGCCCCAUCUGGUCAACGACCUCCAAAAAUCCUCUAAGAAUCCAAGGCCAAGAGUCCUCCCAGGGCUCCUGCCCCAGCCUCAGGGAGAUGUCACACAGCGGACACCACCUGGAGCCCUGAUUUAAACCCAAGCCUGAUGGAAUGUCUAAGUCUUGAGCUGUUCCUGGUGACCUGGAUUCUACCAGCUUGAGCCCUGGGCUGGGUGGGAUCGUCUGCUCAGGUCUGCUGGGUGAACUGUACACUUGCAUCCUCUAUGCACCCGUGUUUGGGUCGACAAGCAGGCUCCCGGGCUCCAGUUUAUAAUCCCUUGGUCAUAUGGCAGGUCCCAUGGCA